rnacentral:rRNA from 1 species
AUGCACGCUGACAGAAUGCUUCACCCCUGCCGGUCUACUUGAACUUCGGUUUGGGUGGCGGACGGGUGAGUAACGCGUAAAGAACUUGCCUCACAGUUAGGGACAACAUUUGGAAACGAAUGCUAAUACCUGAUAUUAUGAUUUUAGGGCAUCCUAAAAUUAUGAAAGCUAUAUGCGCUGUGAGAGAGCUUUGCGUCCCAUUAGCUAGUUGGAGAGGUAACGGCUCACCAAGGCGAUGAUGGGUAGCCGGCCUGAGAGGGUGAACGGCCACAAGGGGACUGAGACACGGCCCUUACUCCUACGGGAGGCAGCAGUGGGGAAUAUUGGACAAUGGACCAAAAGUCUGAUCCAGCAAUUCUGUGUGCACGAUGACGUUUUUCGGAAUGUAAAGUGCUUUCAGUUGGGAAGAAAAAAAUGACGGUACCAACAGAAGAAGUGACGGCUAAAUACGUG